rnacentral:tRNA from 1 species
GCAGUGGUAGUUCAGUUGGUUAGAAUACCGGCCUGUCACGCCGGGGGUCGCGGGUUCGCGUCCCGUCCACUGCGCCA